rnacentral:tRNA from 1 species
GCCGGGGUGUUGAAACUGGGAAACAAACUGGACUUAAAAUCCAGCGUCCGCAAGGACUUGAGGGUUCAACUCCCUCCCCCGGCACCA